rnacentral:rRNA from 1 species
CCUACGGGAGGCUGCAGUGGGGAAUAUUGGACAAUGGGCGAAAGCCUGAUCCAGCCAUGCCGCGUGUGUGAAGAAGGCCUUCGGGUUGUAAAGCAUUUUCAGUGGGGAAGAAAGCCUUGGGGCUAAUACCCUCGAGGAAGGACAUCACCCACAGAAGAAGCACCGGCUAACUCCGUGCCAGCAGCCGCGGUAAUACGGAGGGUGCGAGCGUUAAUCGGAAUUACUGGGCGUAAAGCGCGCGUAGGCGGUCUGAUAAGCCGGUUGUGAAAGCCCCGGGCUCAACCUGGGAACGGCAUCCGGAACUGUCAGGCUAGAGUGCAGGAGAGGAAGGUAGAAUUCCCGGUGUAGCGGUGAAAUGCGUAGAGAUCGGGAGGAAUACCAGUGGCGAAGGCGGCCUUCUGGACUGACACUGACGCUGAGGUGCGAAAGCGUGGGUAGCAAACAGGAUUAGAUACCCGGUAGUC